AGAGUUGAUCAUGGCUCAGGAUGAACGCUGGCGGCGUGCCUAACACAUGCAAGUCGAACGGACCUAUCAUUAACAGAGACUUCGGUGAAGUGGUUUAGGUUAGUGGCGGACGGGUGAGUAACGCGUGGAGAACCUGCCCUGUACUGGGGGAUAACAGUGAGAAAUCACUGCUAAUACCGCAUAAGCGCACGGAACCGCAUGGUUUUGUGUGAAAAACUCCGGGUGGUACAGGAUGGCUCCGCGUUGGAUUAGCCUGUUGGCGGGGUAACGGCCCACCAAAGCUACGAUCCAUAGCCGGCCUGAGAGGGUGAACGGCCACAUUGGGACUGAGACACGGCCCAGACUCCUACGGGAGGCAGCAGUGGGGAAUAUUGCACAAUGGGGGGAACCCUGAUGCAGCGACGCCGCGUGAAGGAAGAAGUAUCUCGGUAUGUAAACUUCUAUCAGCAGGGAAGAAAAUGACGGUACCUGACUAAGAAGCCCCGGCUAACUACGUGCCAGCCGCAGC
rnacentral:rRNA from 1 species